AAAUGGUUUGAUGUUAACAUGCAUAUAGUUUUAAUAGCUGCAAAUGCUAAUUAAUCACAUGGUUAGAUUAAUUAAUUUAUUAUCAAUGGUAAAUAUCCAGUCAGUCUUCAUUGGUUGGUUUCAUGUGUUUUUAAUUAAGGUCACAUCAUCAUGUUCAUCAUUCGGUCAAGACAUGGCUCACGACCCUAUCAAGCACACCGGAAAGACAUGAUGUAAAUAAAUAGUAUGAUCUUUCUGGUAGUUUAUUAGAUUUUUA
rnacentral:lncRNA from 1 species